rnacentral:rRNA from 1 species
GUGCCAGCAGCUGCGGUUAUACAAAAAAUACAAGUAAAUUUUAUUAAAUCAAGUUAAAUUGAUAAAUAUUUAAUAAUAAAAAAAUUUUUAGGUGAAAUUUUAAUUUUUUUAUUUUUAAAAUUAAAAAAAAUGUUGAGGCUAAAAAAUUUUGUUAAUAAACUAGGAUUAGAUACCCUACUAUUAAAAAAUGUAUUUUAAAAAAUUAGAGUAGUAAUAGUUAUGGUCUUGAAACUCAAAAAAUUUGGCGGUAUUUUAGUCUAUUCAGAGGAACCUGUGGUGUAAUCGAUAAUCCACGAUGAAUCUUACUUAUUUUUGUUUUUCAAUUUGUAUACCGCCGUUAUUUAAAAAUUUUUUGAAAAUAAUAAUUUUUAUAAUUUUUUAUUAAAUAGAAAGUCAGGUCAAGGUGCAGUUUAUAUUUAAGUAUUUCAUGGGUUACAAUAAAUUUAUUUAUAUGGAUUAAAUUAUGAAAUUAGUUUAUGAAAGUGGAUUUGGGAGUAAAUUUUUAAAGAUUAAAAAAUUGAUUUUAGCUCUAAAAUAUG